rnacentral:rRNA from 1 species
CAGUAGCCACGGUAAUACAGAGGAUGCAAGCGUUAUCCGGAAUGAUUGGGCGUAAAGCGUCUGUAGGUGGCUUUUCAAGUCCGCCGUCAAAUCCCCGGGCUCAACCCUGGACAGGCAGUGGAAACUACCAAGCUGGAGUACGGUAGGGGCAGAGGGAAUUUCCGGUGAGGCGGUGAAAUGCGUUGAGAUAGGAAAGAACACCAACGGCGAAAGCACUAUGCUAGGCCGACACUGACACUGAGAGACGAAAGCUAGGGGAGCAAAUGGGAUUAGAUACCCGCGUAGUCCCUGUCUCUUAUAC